UCGGCCGGGAACGGGGCGUCGGCAAAGACGAGGUCCAGGCGGGAAGUGACCUCCGCCGGCCACUUCCCCACCACCUGAGUCCUCAUGAUGGCGCCGCUGGUGCGGAAACCGUGGAGGCAGAGGAACCGAGGCUUGUGGCCGCCGACGGUGAGGGUGGUGGCGGCGGUGGUGCCCUCGGCGAGCCUGCCCAUGGUGGAAGGGAAAGGGUGGCCGAGGAGGAGGGGG
rnacentral:misc_RNA from 1 species